rnacentral:rRNA from 1 species
UACAGAGGUCUCAAGCGUUGUUCGGAUUCAUUGGGCGUAAAGGGUGCGUAGGUGGCGCGGUAAGUCGGGUGUGAAAUUUCGGAGCUUAACUCCGAAACUGCAUUCGAUACUGCCGUGCUUGAGGACUGGAGAGGAGACUGGAAUUUACGGUGUAGCAGUGAAAUGCGUAGAUAUCGUAAGGAAGACCAGUGGCGAAGGCAGGUCUCUGGACAGUUCCUGACACUGAGGCACGAAGGCCAGGGGAGCAAACGGG